rnacentral:lncRNA from 1 species
AACUCAGAUGUGGUUCACUGCAUUCUCCCAGGUGAAUGGGCUCCUCUAAAAAGAUGGGAGAUGUCGGCCUCUCCAGUGCACAGCACACUCAGAAUUACAAAUCUAAGGAUCUCAUGUAUCCCUGGCUGGCUUGUAACCCACAGAGAUUCUCCUGCCUCUGCCUCCCAAGUGCCAAGUGCUAGGAUUAAAGGCGGGUACCAUCAUACUCAGCCUGCAAAACUGUUCAUAAAAACAGUCUCUAACACCUUUCUGUUGCCAAACUGAAAAUCCAUCAACAGAUGUUACAGAUUAUUCCUGUAGAGAUACAUGUGAGUGAAAUCCAGACCAAGUGAAGUUUUGCCAAGCCUAGACAGAAAGACAAUCGUGGAGUCGGGAUACGGAUGACUUUGGCUGUUGCAUGUGCUUAUGUUACCAAUACAAAUAGAUUCUAUGAUAAUACGUCUAUGAAAAUGAGGAAUCCCCAUAUUGUAGAUAGAUGCCAGACAAGAUGAGUUUCAAUCAGGUUCCAGGAAUUGGUUCUGCUUAUAUUCAUGAUUGCUGUCUAGGAAAAAGUUAGAUUUUGUGGAAUGCAGGAGUUUGAAGUUGAGGUUUCCUUGUCUUGGCAUUGGCAGAACCAUUCUGGGGCUUUCUUAGGCUAUGAAGAAUCCUACCAUACGGAUCUUCCCUGUGACCUCUUCUGCUUGGUCUCUGGAUGUCCUCUCCUCUCGUGACAUGCUUGCAUCCUAACUGCGAGUUUUUAGCUGCUCAAACUGUGGAAUCAAAUGAGAUCACCACAAAGUGGCCCCACGGAUGAAAGCACUCUUUCCACAGAAACUCACUGGCACACCAGCUAAGGGCACUAUCCAAGAUUCUUCUGAAGAAAUGCAGUCUUCCAAACAGGAGGCCAGUGACGACCAAUGACAAUCCUGCUCAGUUAGAAUUCUCUGUAGGACGCAUGGUUGGUAGUGUUGUGGCUCUCCAUAAUAAACAAAAGACUGUGAGUGUUACCUCAGUGUGAGUGCACUUAAAAUUAAAACUUUGAAUCAUGCUCUCUAAAUAAAGUUGGAGCUUUAUGUGACAAUAUCAUCCUCAUUUUACAUUCUGGGCAGCUCUCCAAGCUCUGGGGUAAAAUGAGGACUCCUGGGCCUAGAUUGAAUGAACAUCCAAUUAGGAUCAAUCAAGAAAGACUUCAUGUCCCACAGCAGCUGAGUUCUCAGGUUAAACAAAGACUAUCUUUCAGUGGCCUCCUUAUGCAGUAAGAAUUUACUGUUCAGAUCUUUCUACAAGAUACGUCUUACUCUUUAGAUUUCUGGCCACUUAGAUUAGAGCAACCCAACCACUGAAGCCAUCUCUGUCACAUGAUGCUUGUGGGCAGAAGCCAGCACUUCUAUUCUCCUCCAAGUUGGACGCUUCCCUCAAAUCUCAGCCAGCUGAGAAAACAUCCUGAUCUGAAGUUUGUCCAGGCUGUCCUGGGUGAGGAUGGAGGCACACAGCCACUGUCCCUAGUUUGUGACAUCUCGCUCUCUGUGAGAUUGAAAGGUUUCAGUUCUUCAAAAUAAUAAAAUACCUUCAGUCACAAGGGACAGGUUUGUAGGGGAGGGGGAACAAAAACAUGCAACUGGUUAGAAGAAUUCCUUUUGGAAAAAAAAUGUCACACAUACACCAAGACAUCAGGACUUUCCGGCACCACCUUCCCCUCAGGGAUUCACAGAGAGGCAAUCAUUUUCAAAGGUGAAGAAGUGAGAUUUGCUCUCUGAGUUUGGUAUUUACCCAGUGUGGCCAGGACAGAAAGUCUUUUCUCCUCUUUGGCAUGAAUUGUUUUAAAUGUGGAAGAUGGAUGCCUACAAAAAAUACGAAGUUCUGGGAAAAAAAAAAAAAAAGAUCUGUUUUUCUGUCUCACAUACCAGCCCCGAUAUGUACUUAGCGACCAAAGAGUGUGUAAGAAAGAAUUCAGUGGACCUUGGUUUUGGGGUAAAGUUUGUGGGUGGCAGCAUCAGCUGUGUCCCCCAUCCAUCGAAGUCUAGAAAGGGUCAGAAAUGUAGGAUAUUCCUGUAGCUUCUUCCAACAUGCUUUUUAAAAAGCUAAAAGCAGUGACCUACGUGUGAGGAGCCACAGAGGAAGAGAAGAACCAUCAAGGCUACUGGCUAUCUUGUAACAGUAAACACAGCUCACGAAAUACCCAGCAAAGGAAGGGUGAUGAACCAACGUGAACAAGAGACUCUCAUGUUCCAAGUGGAUCUGAAAGUUGGGAAUUAGCUUCCUACCAAGGAAACUACCUGGUCCCCAGUAGGAAGACACACUGGAUCUUCCCUGGCUUUGAGCUGUUGAUCAGUGCUCGGAAUCAGCUAUGUAGCAUCCCUGUUCAGUUAGCCAGUACAGACAGCCUUCAGGGCGCUGGUGCUCAGGGGGAGAGCCCACGAUUAUUCAGUUGUGAAAUGACAGUCAUGUGAUUUGCUGGCACUUGGGAACAGACUCCUAACCACAGCCACGUUCCUGCUCCACUGAUGUGUAGGCACAGGAAUGUAGGAUCACACUCCUAAUAUUCCCAUGACCAGAAACAGUGAGGAUGCCAAGAGAGCUACUCAUUUGAGGGACACAUUCUCACUACCAGCUGGGAGACAUUGCCUUUGCGCUCAUCUUCUUGACCAUUAAACAGAGAGGCAUCAUUCAUUGGCAGCAAGACUAAGAAAGCAGGACAUGAGACUAGUGAGAGUGUGGAUUACCAGCUGUAACUAGUGUGAACUGACUAGAUCCAGGGACUACUAACUCAAUCACGGGGGCCUAGAAACACUAGGAAAUUAAGCUUAGACAUUCUUUCUGCUCACAGCAGUGCCCAGCACUACACAGACGGAAGCCCGGCAGACCUGACAGGCUCUUGGCUCUCACAGGGGCUGUAAUCUUAGUUGUAAUCUGUGAUGCUGGAUCAUUUAGCUUCCCUGAAUACUGUCGUAUAUUAGGACCCACAAGGGGCCUUACAUGGCAUGCCCCUUCUCCACGUCAAAACACUGGCCCGGAUUUAAGAAUCAAAUAAAAGCAUUUGCAAAAGGGUGCCUUUUAUUCAGAAUAAAGGACCUAUCCUUCGUGUGAAAUAGCCUCUUUGGCGGCCCACACAGACUUGCAGUGGACUGGUCUUCACUCAGGUAUAGAAAUGUUCAUGUUAGAUUUUGCUAAAAGACUAUGGGGCAAAGGCUACAGGAGUCCUCUGUGUCUCUCCAUCUGCCUCUUCCCAGGUACUCUUUCUGUUUUUCUGAACAUACAGAAAACUUCACUUUUACUGAAUGAGUAAGUAACAUUAAGCUACAAAGAAUGAAGAAAAUGGAAUAGGAACUUGAACAUAUAUUUUUAAAAAAACGCAUAAUUCUAGGUCCUUUUAAGAGAUAUCACACUGAAUUAAGGUUGAUUGUUUGAUUUGAUUUGAUUUCAUUUGGUUCGCUUGUUAGCUCACACUUAGAAUCCCAACACUCUUGAAGACUGAGUCAGGAGGACUGCAAGCAGUCAGUUUGAGGCCAGCCUGGGCUACAGACAGGGUUUCACUCUACCAUACCCUUGUUCCCAAAGAGUGUUAGCAUCUAGCCUAGUCAUAGCUUCUCCUGGCUUUGAACUCACAAUCCCUUGCCUCAGCCUUCCAACUGCUGGGGAUUGCAGGUGUGCAGCACCAUGGCCAGCUGAACACAGUUAAUUUCGUUAAGACUUUGAAGGGCUGCGUGGAAAUGAGCCCAUCUUCAGUCCAUGGUUGACAUUAUCAGGAGUUCUCAGCACAAAGCAAGAACACUGUUCUUGCUUGCCUUUAAAACACCUGACUAAGCACAUGGCUAUUAUAUGAAACCAUGUUUCUCAAACUCAGAACCAAAUGAGUGUGACUAGGCAUGUGACUGGGCAUGUAACUGACUAGACAUGUGACAGACUGGUCAUGUGACUGGGCAUGUGACUGUCGUGUGACUGGGCAUGUGACUGUCAUGUGACUGGGCAUGUGACUGACUGGGCAUGUGGAUGACUGACUGGGCAUGUAACUGACUGGUCAUGUGACUGUCAUGUAAAUGGUCAUGUGACUGACGGACUGGGCAUAUGACUGGGCAUGUAACUGGACAUGUGAUGUGACUAAACACACCUUUCAUUAUUCAAAUUCUAGUCACUACCUAGAACUCAAGAACUAAACAGAUACUUGUAAAUAUCUUUUUUAAAAAACCUAAAUACAUGUCUCUUCAACUUGUUUUACAAAGGAUAGCCUACUGAAAAGUGAAUUUAUAAUAUCCCUCUACAUACAUAUUUGUCAUAUACAUAUAUACACAUAUACAUUAUACACAUACAUGUACAAAUAUGUAUACACAUACACACUUAUACACAUAAACAAUCUACAUAUAUACCCAAAUGUUCAUAUACAUGUAAUAUGCUUUCUUGCCAUCCUCUAUCCAUCAUUCACUGGUGCCCAGGACGAAGAAUAUCAUCUCAUACAAAAUAACUGGAUCAUCCUCGUUUAUACGUAUAUCAGACCUAAUCCUAGCCCAAGUAUUUGAGGCUGUGGCAUGGUACUCAAGACUCAAUCAUGGUCAUGAAAGAAGAAAGAACAAACUCCUGGAGGACCAUCCCACCGUCCCUAGCAUGAAGCAUGACAAACUUUAUUUAGUGCUUUUUAACAGUGAUUAUCCCAGUCAGCUGUGUGGGCAGUAAGAGGAUCACCAUGGGUGUGUGUCAACAACAACAAAAAAAGCCACUGGGUGACAUUGGCUCAGAGUACUUGUCAUAGUAUCAAAAUAUAGUGAAUAUUUAUGGAAUAGUGCAAACAUUUUAAUAAAGUAUCAAAGGAUUCUUAGAGUGCUAUUCCUAUACUACCCCUAGAAUCCACAGCUUUACAAAAUGGUGUGUUUUAUGUUUUUGUAAUUCUCAAAGUUUUACUGUUGUUUAUUCAGAAUAAAAUCAAUUUAAAUGU